rnacentral:rRNA from 1 species
AAUCUUCCACAAUGGACGGAAGUCUGAUGGAGCAAUGCCGCGUGAGCGAAGAAGGUUUUCGGAUCGUAAAACUCUGUUGUAAGGGAAGAACAAGUACAGUAGUAACUGGCUGUCCCUUGACGGUACCUUAUUAGAAAGCCACGGCUACCUACGUGCCAGCAGCCGCGGUAAUACGUAGGUGGCAAGCGUUGUCCGGAAUUAUUGGGCGUAAAGCGCGCGCAGGUGGUUUCUUAAGUCUGAUGUGAAAGCCCACGGCUCAACCGUGGAGGGUCAUUGGAAACUGGGAGACUUGAGUGCAGAAGAGGAUAGUGGAAUUCCAAGUGUAGCGGUGAAAUGCGUAGAGAUUUGGAGGAACACCAGUGGCGAAGGCGACUAUCUGGUCUGUAACUGACACUGUGGCGCGAAAGCGUGGGGAGCAAACA